GUUUCCGAAAACUGAGGAUAAGGCUCAAGAAGGAAGGAAUAUUUAGUGUAAGAGUGGAAAGAGUUCUGGAGUCUUGGUUUGAUGUUUAAUUGUACAGAGCUCUUCACAGAAGGGCUUUUCUUUCAAAGGAUUAUUUGCACUCUUGUCAAGCUUUCUCUUCUAUUGUUUUGAGCAGAUACUUAACAUAAUACAGUAUUAGCACAGUAGCUAGUUUGUGUACAGAAGUCAUGUCACUUAGUCAAACAUCAACAUGCACAUUCACAUUUCAUUGUUUCUCACACUUUGUGAUUUGGCAGUGUGCCGCUUUCCCUUUUCCCCAUUCUGUCAGUCUUUAUCAGGUCUUUUAGAGCUUCAAAAGGUCCCUCAGCUUUCGUUCAGUGUCACCACAGUUGACUAGGCCUGUAUCUUAUGCUGUGUACAUUUGCUUACAGGCCCAUUUCUGUGCCUGCAAAUAAUAUGCAAAGAUGGACAGUUUUUUUUUUUUUUUUGGAUACCACACACAGACUGUUCCUAUUAUUAUCACACCUGCCUCUGUGUCAGCUGUAGUUUCUGUAAAUAGAAUAUAUUGUAUAAAAUCCAAGUGCGGACUAGCUCUGAUUGACCAGCUACUGUGCUGUUACAAGAAAUAUCAGCACUUUUGGAGCGCUGCCUGUCCAGUCAUAUUAGAAGACCAGAACUAACUUAUACAUAUGCUCAUGGUACACAGCAAGACAGCAAGAAGAUGAGAACAAGAUAAAGGGAAAAAAGGAGGAAAAAGGAAAAGCCUUGGAACUGAAAAGCUGGUAACAGAGACUAAAUAAAUCACUCCAAUAGAGCAGCACUGGAGUACAGAAGGGGAGCAGGUCUGGAAAACCCACUGACCUCAGGAGAAAGAGAGUUUGAGAAGUGAACAGAUAGCUUUAUUGUCCUCCAAUAGUUUCAUCAUUAAAUUAAUCAGCUUACUCAAGGAUACAUCUCCAUUCUGACUGCACUGUGAUGUCAAAAUGAGUACCACUAUUGUUUUCAUAAUCCACUGGACUCCAUAUGAGGACCAUGGUUUUAAUUCUUGUGACCACCAUCCUACUAACAGUAGUCAGCUAAACCCUGGACUCUAAGCAAGAGCUUCUUUCUUUUUAGAUGCUUAGUUCUAAUGAAUUUUAAUUGAAGUAAAAUGUUGAUUCAGUAAGGCCUGAUUAAAGAUAAAUAUCAGUGUCUUAUAUAAAUUAGGCACCGUGGGUAUAAACUAUAACAUUAUAAUGAGAUCCCUUUGCCACGUCACCAAUGGGGCGAAAUCAGUCACGCUCGUUUUCUCAGACCCUUUCAGAAAAAGGCUUACCAAAACAAAGUUACUGGGUUAACAUUUUUCUCAUUUCCUUGGUUGGUAGAUGCACCUGGGACCUGAUUAUAGCACUUAAAACCUGGAAAAAUCAGAUUUUCAUGAUAUGUCACAUUUAAAGGGCGAUUCACCCAAAACAGAAAAUUGUCAUCAUUUACUCAACAUCAUGCCAUUCCAAACCUUUAUGAAUUGCUUUCUACUGUGGAACAUUUUUGUCCAUACAGUACAAAUCAAGGCUAACCAAAAAUGGUUUGGUAACAUUCUACAAAAUCUUCUUUUGUGUUCAACUUGGAACGACAUGAGGGUAAGGAAAUGAUGACAGAAUUUAUUAGCAGUAACUUUCCAGCAGUCUAGCUCAAAAUCUUUACUGUCAAGUGCUUUUAUAUUUGACAAAAAGGCAUUAUUAAGUUUGUUGCAUUUGCCGUGAAUUCAGUAAUAUCUAUCAGUAUUAAUUUCUGUCCUGUUUUAUGUAUUAAUUUAUUUACUCCAACUGAAGACCCUAUGACCCAUCAAAACAUUCAAGGAGGAAUUAGUUUUUUAACCCGAGUCCAGGGGUUAAAAAACAGUACUGAGUAAAAAAAAAACAGUAAAACAACAACAACAACAUUUUUUCAGAGUCACAUUUUUUCCUGCACGUGCAACCAAAUGUGCUAUCAUGAUUUUUUUCUUUCCGUUCCUAUAAGAAUUUUUCAUGCACUGCCUUUUACAUGAAUGUGGAGCGUACUGUAUGUGUCGGACAGCGAGAGAGAGAGAGAGAGCGAGAGAGAGAGAGAGAGAGAGAGAGACCGAGACCUAGAGAAAGUCGCCUGGCGGGUCCGCCCCGGCCCGAGGGGGCGGGUGGGGACCAUACAGUACAAUCAAGGCUAA
rnacentral:lncRNA from 1 species